ACAGCAGUAGCCGCGGGAAUACGUAGGGUGCAAGCGUUAAUCGGAAUUACUGGGCGUAAAGCGUGCGCAGGCGGUUCGCUAAGACAGAUGUGAAAUCCCCGGGCUUAACCUGAGAACUGCAUUUGUGACUGGCGGGCUAGAGUAUGGCAGAGGGGGGUAGAAUUCCACGUGUAGCAGUGAAAUGCGUAGAGAUGUGGAGGAAUACCGAUGGCGGAGGCAGCCCCCUGGGCCAAUACUGACGCUCAUGCACGAAAGCGUGGGGAGCAAACAGGAUUAGAUACCCCUGUAGUCCCUGUCUCUUAUAA
rnacentral:rRNA from 1 species